rnacentral:ncRNA from 1 species
UUUCCCUCAGAGUAGCUGAAAUAUGUAAUGAAGCUGUUACAUUCGAUAAACCGUUUGAUUGGAGAAAUUGUGGGGCAAAACAUUUUCAAUCUAUUCUCAAAUUUUCACUGAGUAUGACGUCUUGCUUGCUUGAAUGAAGCGUAAAUAAUAUUUGUAUAAAAAAUUUAGAAUUCUUAAUUGGUGUAUAAGCCUUUUUUUUGGCUUAUUUUGGCCAUUUUUGAAAAGCAGAACUGGCGCUGAUCGCAGGACAA